GACAACGUGGCCGAGCGGUUAAGGCGAUUGACUAGAAUGAUCUCAUCUAAGGUACCCCAGUGUGUCUACUAUCAAUUGGGAUAUUCCCGCGUAGGUUCAAAUCCUGCCGUUGUCG
rfam:Puccinia sorghi strain RO10H11247 Scaffold_1919, whole genome shotgun sequence.